UGGGGAAUCUUCCGCAAUGGACGAAAGCCUGACGGAGCAACGCCGCGUGAGUGAUGAAGGUCUUCGGAUUGUAAAGCUCUGUUAAUCGGGACGAAAGAACGAUGUGCGAAUAGUGCAUUGAAGUGACGGUACCGGAAUAGAAAGCCACGGCUAACUACGUGCCAG
rnacentral:rRNA from 1 species